AGAGUUUGAUCCUGGCUCAGGAUGAACGCUAGCGGCAGGCUUAACACAUGCAAGUCGAGGGGCAGCGGGCCCCGCAGCAAUGCGGGGCGCCGGCGACCGGCAAACGGGUGCGGAACACGUACGCAACAUACCCGGUACUGGGGCAUAGCCUUCUGAAAAGGAGAUUAACACCCCAUAAGAUAGUAGAGUGGCAUCACUCAGCUAUUAAAUAUUUAUAGGUACCGGAUUGGCGUGCGUCCUAUUAGCUAGUUGGCAGGGUAAUGGCCUACCAAGGCGACGAUAGGUAGCUGGUGUGAGAGCACGACCAGCCACACGGGCACUGAGACACGGGCCCGACUCCUACGGGAGGCAGCAGUGAGGAAUAUUGGUCAAUGGACGCAAGUCUGAACCAGCCAUGCCGCGUGAAGGAUGAAGGCGUUCUGCGUUGUAAACUUCUUUUAUUGGGGAAGAAACCUGGUUAUUCUUAGCCAGCCGACGGUACCCAAGGAAUAAGCACCGGCUAACUCCGUGCCAGCAGCCGCGGUAAUACGGAGGGUGCAAGCGUUAUCCGGAUUUACUGGGUUUAAAGGGUGUGUAGGCGGACUUUUAAGUCAGCGGUGAAAUCUCCGGGCUCAACCCGGAAACUGCCAUUGAUACUAUUGGUCUUGAAUGUUGUUGAGGUGGGCGGAACGGGUCAUGUAGCGGUGAAAUGCAUAGAUAUGACCCGGAACACCGAUUGCGUACGCAGCCCACUAAGCAACGAUUGACGCUGAGCACGAAAGCGUGGGGAUCAAACAGGAUUAGAUACCCUGGUAGUCCACGCCCUAAACGAUGAUUACUCGACGUUGGCGAUACACUGAUCAGCGUCC
rnacentral:rRNA from 1 species